rnacentral:rRNA from 1 species
UAUUGCGCAAUGGAGGAAACUCUGACGCAGUGACGCCGCGUAUAGGAAGAAGGUUUUCGGAUUGUAAACUAUUUUAGACAGGGAAGAAANAAGACAGUACCUGUAGAAUAAGCUCCGGCUAACUACGUGCCAGCAGCCGCGGUAAUACGUAGGGAGCAAGCGUUACCCGGAUGUAUUGGGUGUAAAGGGUGCGUAGACGGGACAGCAAGUUAGUUGUGAAAGCCCUCGGCUUAACUGAGGAACUGCAACUAAAACUAUUGUUCUUGAGUGCAGGAGAGGAAAGCGGAAUUCCUAGUGUAGCGGUGAAAUGCGUAGAUAUUAGGAGGAACACCAGUGGCGAAGGCGGCUUUCUGGACUGUAACUGACGUUGAGGCACGAAAGUGUGGGGAGCAAACAGG